ensembl:snoRNA
AUUUAAAGAGAAAAACAACCCCAUUAAAAAGUGGGCAAAGUAAGGUAUUUGGGGAACAGGGAUGCUAAUUCCCAUUGCCUUCCUUGGCUGCCUACAUGG